CCUUCGAUAGCUCAGUUGGUAGAGCGGUGGACUGUUAAAAGUUGUGAUGGUUAUCCAUAGAGUCGCUGGUUCGAAUCCGGCUGGAAGAA
rnacentral:tRNA from 1 species